rnacentral:tRNA from 2 species
CACUAUGAAGCUAAAUAGCAUUAACCUUUUAAGUUAAAGAUUGAGAAAUUAACUCUCCAUAGUGA